GAUGAAGAACGUAGCAAAAUGCGAUAAGUAAUGUGAAUUGCAGAAUUCAGUGAAUCAUCGAAUCUUUGAACGCACAUUGCGCCCGCUGGUAUUCUGGCGGGCAUGCCUGUUCGAGCGUCAUUACAACCCUCAGGCCCCCGGGCCUGGCGUUGGGGAUCGGCGGAGCCCCCCGUGGGCACACGCCGUCCCCCAAAUGCAGUGGCGGUCCCGCCGCAGCUUCCAUCGCGUAGUAGCUAACACCUCGCGACUGGAGAGCGGCGCGGCCACGCCGUAAAACACCCAACUCUUCUGAAGUUGACCUCGAAUCAGGUAGGAAUACCCGCUGAACUUAAGCAUAUCAAUAAGCGGAGGA
rnacentral:misc_RNA from 1 species